rnacentral:lncRNA from 10 species
CUUUCUAAAACUGGAGGGGUAGCCUGUUUUCUCUCUUUCUGUCUAUAUAAUAUAUCACAAACAGGGAGCAGACAUAGGGUGACAGAAUUGUGUGUUCCCAGGAAAGCUUGUGGGGAAAAAAAAAAGAAAAGAAGUAAGAUUACAGCAGUGAUCUGAACAUCACUUACUGCAUGUAUGACCUAGAAAAGUCAUCUUUAAGAAGCUGGUUUAUCCAACAUCCAACACCUGCACCUCCGAGAGCACUUCCCCAGAAAGAAUUACUAAAUACAGGGCCUCACUCUGUCAUCCAGGCUGGAGUGCCGUGGCGUCAUCUUGGCUCACUGCAAUCUCUGCCUCUCAGGUUCAAGCGAUUCUCACACCUCAGCCUCCCAAGUAGCUGGGAUUACAGGCAUAUACCACCACGUAUGGCUAACUUUUGUAUUUUUAGUAGAGACGAGUUUUCACCAUGUUGGCCAGGCUGGUCUCAAACUUCCGGCCUCAAAUAAUCCAUCCACUUCAGCCUCCCACAGUGCUGGGAUUACAGAUGUGAGCAACCGUGCCCAGCCCCUAAGUAAAUUCUUAUACUGACAACUGGAUAAUAUGAUUCAGAAUGUAAUCAAAAUAUUAGUGCAACUGAUGCAAAUGAAAUAAAUGUCCAAGAAGUCAGUGAUAUGUAUCUGUUUUGUGCACUAUUGUAUCCCCAUGUCACUGAGAACCCCAGAAAGUACCAGCAUCAAAUUGCAAGGUCAAGAUGGCAUAAAACACGGUUGCAUGUACUGGGCAAGAAGCACUUUGAUGGUGAGCUGAGAAACUGCUUUCGCCAUGUACUGAGCCUGGGAUGGAAUCAGAAUCACAGGGUGCGGGGUCAGCAUGGGAGCAGGAAGCAAACAGAGGGAUGGGCUUAAGGGGCUGACCUGAGGGGGU